UGGGUGGUGGUGCAUGGCCGU
rnacentral:ncRNA from 4 species